UCCAGACUCCUACGGGAGGCAGCAGUGGGGAAUAUUGCACAAUGGGGGAAACCCUGAUGCAGCGACGCCGCGUGAGUGAAGAAGUAUUUCGGUAUGUAAAGCUCUAUCAGCAGGGAAGAAAAUGACGGUACCUGACUAAGAAGCCCCGGCUAACUACGUGCCAGCAGCCGCGGUAAUACGUAGGGGGCAAGCGUUAUCCGGAUUUACUGGGUGUAAAGGGAGCGUAGACGGCAUGGCAAGUCAGAUGUGAAAGCCCGGGGCUCAACCCCGGGACUGCAUUUGAAACUGGGUGUCUUGAGGGCAGGAGAGGAAAGUGGAAUUCCUAGUGUAGCGGUGAAAUGCGUAGAUAUUAGGAGGAACACCAGUGGCGAAGGCGGAUUGCUGGACAGUAACUGACGCUGAGGCGCGAAAGCGUGGGGAGCAAACAGGAUUAGAUACCCGAGUAC
rnacentral:rRNA from 1 species